AGAGUAUGGUGGAUAAUCGCUUUUAAUUAAGAGGAAAGUCCGGGCUGCAAUAAGAUGAGGUUCCAUCUAACAGAUGGCUAGAGCAAUCUAAGGGAAAGUGUAACAGAAAAUAAACUUCCUAAUUUUAGGUAAAGGUGAAACGGCGGGGUAAGAGCCCACCAGUGAUUAUGCGAGUAAAAGCAAUUCAGCUUAUAAACCCAACCUGCAGCAAGAAGGGGUGGUUUUUAUCUUAUAUUUUAAACCCUUCGCUAGAGUGCUAUUGUGAAAUAGUAAGUAGAUAAAUGAUUAUCCAAGACAAAACCCGGCUUAUAGCCAUACUCUUUUA
rnacentral:RNase_P_RNA from 5 species